UUACUACAAACAUUGAAGUGAUCUCUAAGGUGGUGGUGGGACAGUGAGAGACGUGCCGUGGAGCGCAGCGCAUGCGCUCUGCCACUUCCGAGAAGCUAUUGUAAAAUAUACCUACAAUAUGCUAUUACGUAUAGCUACUUAACAAUAAUAGUAAUGUGAUACUUGUUUAAUAAGUGCCAAGUAUUUAGUGUAUAAAAUAAGGCCAAAGAAACAAGUUAUUCUAGGUGAAAGGAGUUUUAUUAUACUUUUUGCAUGUUUAUAUACAAAGUGGGCAUCGGAUACCAUAUUUGCACGUAGAUAAAUACAACUAUAAAAAUGGA